GAUGAACGCUAGCGGCAGGCCUAAUACAUGCAAGUCGAACGAGAUUAAGAGGCUUGCUUCUUAUGAAAGUGGCGCACGGGUGCGUAACGCGUAUGCAACCUACCUUAAUCAGGGGGAUAGCCCGAAGAAAUUCGGAUUAAGACCGCAUAAAAACACAGGAUAGCAUUAUCCAAUGUUCAAAUAUUUAUAGGAUUAAGAUGGGCAUGCGUGUCAUUAGCUAGUUGGCGGGGUAACGGCCCACCAAGGCGACGAUGACUAGGGGAUCUGAGAGGAUGACCCCCCACACUGGUACUGAGACACGGACCAGACUGCUACGGGAGGCAGCAGUAAGGAAUAUUGGUCAAUGGAGGGAACUCUGAACCAGCCAUGCCGCGUGCAGGAAGACAGCCCUCGGGGUCGUAAACUGCUUUUAUUCGGGAAUAAACCUUUCUACGUGUAGGAAGCUGAAUGUACCGAAGGAAUAAGGAUCGGCUAACUCCGUG
rnacentral:rRNA from 1 species